GUGAGCCAGUACAGGAUGGACCCGCGUCUGAUUAGCUAGUUGGUAAGGUAACGGCUUACCAAGGCGACGAUCAGUAGCCGACCUGAGAGGGGGAUCGGCCACAUUGGAACUGAGACACGGUCCAAACGCCUACGGGAGGCAGCAGUGGGGAAUAUUGCACAAUGGGCGAAAGCCUGAUGCAGCAACGCCGCGUGAGUGAUGAAGGCCUUCGGGUCGUAA
rnacentral:rRNA from 1 species